CAUUUUCACGAUAUUAAUUCUUCCUAACCAUGAACAUGGAAUGUUUCUCCAUCUGUUUGUGUCCUCUCUGAUUUCGUUGAGCAGUGGUUUGUAGUUCUCCUUGAAGAGGUCCCUUACGUUCCUUGUGAGUUGUAUUCCUAGGUAUUUUAUUCUUUUUGUAGCAAUUGUGAAUGGCAGUUCGCUCUUGAUUUGGCUUUCUUUAAGUCUGUUAUUGGUGUAGACGAAUGCUUGUGAUUUUUGCACAUUGAUUUUAUAUCCUGAGACUUUGCUGAAGUUGUUUAUCAGUUUCAGGAGUUUUUGGGCUGAGGCGAUGGGGUCUUCUAGGUAUACUAUCAUGUCGUCUGCAAAUAGAGACAAUUUGGCUUCCACCUUUCCUAUUUGAAUACCCUUUAUUUCUUCUUUUUGUUUUGUAAUCUUCAUGACAAUCCCACACGAGAGACUCAUUUUACAGUUGUAAAUAAUGGGCCAAGUGUGGCGGCUUAUGCCUGUAAUCCCAGCACUUUGGGAAGCCGAGGUGGGUGGAUCACGACGUCAGGAGCUCAAGACCAGUCUGGCCAACAUGGUGAAACCCCGUCUCUAGUAAAAAUACAAAAAAUAUUAGCUGGGUGUGAUGGCACAUGCCUGGAAUCCUAGCUACUCUGGAGGCUGAGGCAGGAGAAUUGCUUGAACCGGGGAGUCAGAGGUUGCAGUGAGCUGAGAUUGUGUCACUGUACUCCAGCCUGGGCAACAGAGUGAGACUCUCAAGAAAAAAAAAAAAAAAGCUCGGGGAGGGAGGUUAAGUUAUUGCUCCUGGUUUUACAGCCAGAAAAUGGUGUUGCUGCCUUAGAAUAGGCACUUGAUUACAACUCUCUAAAUGACACCAUCUCCCUGCUCAAGUCAAGGACACAGAAACACAGUGGAAGAAGUGUCAACUGAAGGUUAAGCUGUCAGAGCCCAGGGAAGAAUCUAGUUUCCUGAGAACUCCACUGCAUCCCCAUUCCUAGAAAAGUCUCCUUGGGUUGGACUGGAAAGCCGUUUGGUACCAGGUGAUGCCCACCAUUGAUCAGAGCUGGUAGGUCUGGGGGUGGACA
rnacentral:lncRNA from 1 species